UGCAGAUGCAGCCCCGGGCACACUUGGCACAGCCCGGGGGGCAGCAAGGACAGCAGCCUGAAAAGGUCACAGGACAGACAGAUGCAAAUUCCUCCUAGAAGAGAAGACAGAGCCACAAGCGAUAAGGACUGAGCUCCAACGAGGACACAAGGUGUGCUGCAGAUCGUCCCGGUGGCAAGAGAUCCAAAAAUGUGAAGCGUGCGGUGUGCGGAGGCAGUGGAGAACCAGAUGUGCGCAUCCUGCGGGCCAACCACGACAGCAUCCAAAAUGCAGGGGCGCCUGGGUGGCUCAGUCG